GCUAACAGCCAUAUCACCCUUCAACUCACAACUGACAACACACUGAACCUAAACAUGUUUAAGCCUGGUCAGUACCUGGGUGGGAGACCUCCUGGGAAAAACUAAGGUUGCUGCUGGUA
rnacentral:rRNA from 1 species